GUGUUUGUGGUCUAGUGGAUAUGACACUCGCCCCGACAGCGAGAGGCUGUAGGUUCGAAUCCCACCAGAGACA